rnacentral:piRNA from 1 species
UGAUCCAUCAGUAUAUACCACAAUCCC